GGACAACGGCAACAACAACGACCUCACGUCGCUGGCCAAGGCCAACUACCUGCCCUACGGCAUCGACUUCGCCGGCGGGCCGACCGGCCGCUUCUCCAACGGCUACACCAUGGUCGACGCCAUAGGUACGUGCGUUGCUCUUGCUCCACGCGUGCUUCGUUGCGCUGCAUGCAUGCUCUCCUGGCCAUUUUCCUUUCCUAUUAGCUACUAAGUACUUCUUGAGUUCUUCAGAGCAAGUUUUAGUGUUCUCAUCAGAAAAACAAAUCAUAAAAAUGCCGCCGGUAGUAUAUGAUGUGUUAUUUUCACAUAUAAAUCGAGCCAUUUUGUUGCCUGCAGAAAUAGCAAAUCAGCUGGCAAAGUGGUACAGUGCCUCUUUUGAGUAGAAAUUGCUAAUUCUAGUACAUCCUAGAAUGAGCUAGUGAUAUUGCAAAUAAUGCAAUGAGGAUAGAGCGUCAGGAAACCCGUGAUCUAGUGCACGCAUGGUACACCACACUGCACGGCUGUUUUUCUGUCAUUCUCAUAGUAAUUUCCAUGUUGGACUUGUUUACAGAAAAGGAAUAUACAUGGCCCUUUGAUGUGUUUUAGUCUUUUUAUAUACACAAGCACAUGAAGUGGGCUUAGUCUAUCUGUUCCUAGAAGAAUGUUUUACAAAUCACAAGGAAGUCGUUAUCACUAGCUUAGAUUGUUUGUUUUUUUCGAAAAGGAGCUUAGAUUGGUAUGUGUCGACCAUAUUUUAUUAUUAUUAAAUCAUCAUCAUUAUUUCUGUUUAAAAUCUAUCUAUGCAAGUACUACUACUUGUUAACUCCAAAAAAAAAGAACUACUACCUCCUUUCUCGUUUAUAAGUCUUGCGCGUAUCCCUCGAUAUAUAAUUUGACCAACAUAAGAUGAGCUGUAUAGUCUAAACAUUGUACCAUUAGAAAGUAUAGGAUUUGAAGUUAACUUACUAUAAAGGCAAGAUCCUCAGUUAAUUAAAGAUUCUAGCUGGUUUAAUGGAAUUGGAUAUGCUCAUAUGCAUAUGCAGGUACAUUCCUCAGGGUUUCUAUAUCUACAUGUACUCAGUCCAUAAUUAUUGACUGGCUAGAAUUUCAUUGUGUCAAAUGUUAGGCUAGGUUGCUUCUCCUUUUCUUACCCCUUGAAGAAGCAAUGCAAUUAUUACUGUUUUUCAUAUAUGCAAGUGUGAGUUCCACACUGAAAGCCUACAUGCAUGUACUACUCCAAUGGAAAUCCACACUUGAGUACUACUGUUUAGGGGAAUCCGAGCAAAUCAUGCAAUGCAUAGUGCAUGCAUGGUCCUUGCAAACAAAAUCUAAAUUGAUUAGUUCAACCGUAAUCUCAGUACAUAAGCACUGAGAUCCCACUAGCAUAGUACUAGCAUAGCUUGAAGCCUAGUACCAGUACUGACUGUAAUAACUACUGACCGGCCUCCUCCAUGUGCUCAUUCAAGUGCAUGAGAGAGAGAGAGAGAGAGAGAGAGAGAGAGAGAGAGAGAGAGAGAGAGAGCAAGUGAGGAGUGAAAAGAGAGCGAGACACUCCACACCAGUGCUGCUGGUAAUAGUGUAGCACAGCGGUACUCGAUUUCCUCCGGGAUCAUAAUGCCGUCCCAUUGAUUCAACACAUACAGUGCACAUGACGCGAUGAGUUCGGCCAGUCAAAACCUGUACCACUACCACUAUGGUGGCGUCGUCAAUGUUUCCAUGUGACCCUGGCCAGGGCCAGGGCCUGGAUACGACGCCGUGUAUACGGUGAUAAAUUAAGUGCACAGGUUCGUCGGGCCCCGCCAAUAAUUCACCACAAAACUAACCAGGGGUUGCAACUGUAACAAAUCUUAGUUCAUGCACAGUGCGACCGUGAUUACUUACCGCAAAACAGUACUAAUUCAACACAAAGUUUUUUUGAAACGGAAUUCACCACAAAGUUAACUACGUCGUGUUUGUGCAUGCAUGCAUGCAGCUGAGCUUCUGGGGCUGCCCCUGCUGCCCUCGAACAACGAGGCCUCCAACGCCGACAGCGACGCCGGCGCGCUGCAGGGCGUGAACUACGCCUCCGCCGCCGCCGGGAUCCUGGACAACACGGGCCAGAACUUCGUGGGGCGCAUUCCGUUCAACCAGCAGAUCAAGAACUUCCAGACGACGCUGAACCAGAUCAAGGGGAAGCUGGGCGCCGGCAAGCUGGCCUCCUCCCUGGGCCGCAGCAUCUUCUACGUGGGCAUGGGCAGCAACGACUACCUCAACAACUACCUGAUGCCCAACUACAACACCCGCAACGAGUACAACGGCGACCAGUACUCCACGCUCCUCGUGCAGCACUACACCAAGCAGCUCACCGUAAGCCAUGCAUGGAUUCUUUUUAGUAGUAGUAAGUUGCAUCGUCUCUGAAGACCAUGAACAUGCAUGCAUGGACGCAGAGCCUGUACAACCUGGGGGCCCGGAGGUUCGUGAUCGCGGGGGUGGGGUCGAUGGCGUGCAUCCCCAACAUGCGCGCGCGGAACCCGACCAACAUGUGCUCGCCGGACGUGGACGAGCUCAUCGCGCCCUUCAACAGCAAGGUGAAGGGCAUGGUGGACAGCCUGAACGCCAACCUCCCGCGCGCCAAGCUCAUCUACAUCGACAACUUCGAGAUGAUCUCCGAGGUGCUCCGGAGCCCCUUUAACUACGGCUUCAGCGUGGUGGACCGCGGGUGCUGCGGGAUCGGCCGGAACCGCGGGGUCAUCACCUGCCUGCCCUUCCUCCGCCCCUGCCCCAACCGCAACACCUACAUCUUCUGGGACGCCUUCCACCCCACCGAGAGGGUCAACGUGCUCCUCGGCAAGGCCGCAUACUCCGGCGGCACCGACCUCGCUUACCCCAUGAACAUCCAGCAGCUCGCCGCGUGGCAGCCGUAGGAUCGAGUUUCUUUGAGUGAGGAACUAAGUAUCUACUAGCUAGCUAGCUACGUGACAGUGUUUCUUCUGUGAGUGAUUAGGUCUGGAGUACCGUGUGUUCAGUUCAGUGUGUCUGUUUUGAUCCGUCAGUCAUAUGAGUGUGUAAGGAUCGUUCAAUGGUGUUGUGGCUGUCGUCAAUCUAAUGAUAAAUUAAGUAAUUACAUUAGUAAUUAUGAGCACCUCUAGUGCCACGGUGUUUGAUUGAGAUCUUUU
rnacentral:lncRNA from 1 species